rnacentral:rRNA from 1 species
GUGAGGAAUAUUGGACAAUGGCCGAGAGGCUGAUCCAGCCAUGCCGCGUGCGGGAGGACGGCCCUAUGGGUUGUAAACCGCUUUUGUUGGGGAGCAAUAAGGUCUACGUGUAGACUGAUGAGAGUACCCAGCGAAUAAGCAUCGGCUAACUCCGUGCCAGCAGCCGCGGUAAUACGGAGGAUGCGAGCGUUAUCCGGAUUUAUUGGGUUUAAAGGGUGCGUAGGCGGGUGCUUAAGCGUGAGGUGAAAGCUCGGAGCUCAACUCCGGAACUGCCUCGCGAACUGGGUGCCUUGAAUGUCCGUGCCGUGGGAGGAAUGUGUGGUGUAGCGGUGAAAUGCAUAGAGAUCACACAGAACACCGAUUGCGAAGGCAUCUCACGAACGGAUGAUUGACGCUGAGGCACGAAAGCGUGGGGAUCAAACAGGAUUAGAAACCCUAGUAGUCC